rnacentral:rRNA from 1 species
CAUAGUGAUCCGGUGGUUCUGAAUGGAAGGGCCAUCGCUCAACGGAUAAAAGGUACUCCGGGGAUAACAGGCUGAUACCGCCCAAGAGUUCAUAUCGACGGCGGUGUUUGGCACCUCGAUGUCGGCUCAUCACAUCCUGGGGCUGAAGUCGGUCCCAAGGGUAUGGCUGUUCGCCAUUUAAAGUGGUACGCGAGCUGGGUUUAGAACGUCGUGAGACAGUUCGGUCCCUAUCUGCCGUGGGCGUUGGAAGAUUGAAGGGGGCUGCUCCUAGUACGAGAGGACCGGAGUGGACGAACCUCUGGUGUUCGGGUUGUGUCGCCAGACGCAUUGCCCGGUAGCUAAGUUCGGAAUCGAUAACCGCUGAAAGCAUCUAAGCGGGAAGCGAGCCCUGAGAUGAGUCUUCCCUGAUACUUUAAGUAUCCUAAAGGGUUGUCGGAGACUACGACGUUGAUAGGUCAGGUGUGUAAGUGCUGUGAGGCAUUGAGCUAACUGAUACUAAUUGCCCGUGAGGCUUAACCAUACAACACCCAAGGGGUUU